rnacentral:misc_RNA from 1 species
AACCAUUCUCACCUGCGGCUAGACCUGCGGAAGGAUCAUUACACAAUAAACAUAUGAAGGCUGCACCGCCAACAGGCGGCAAGGCUGGAGUAUUUUAUUACCCUUGUCUUUUGCGCACUUGUUGUUUCCUGGGCGGGUUCGCCCGCCUCCAGGACCACAUGAUAAACCUUUUUUAUGCAGUUGCAAUCAGCGUCAGUACAACAAAUGUAAAUCAUUUACAACUUUCAACAAUGGAUCUCA